GGGCGGUUAGUUUAGUGGUAGAAUGCUUCCUUCACACGGAAGAGGUCGCAGGUUCGAUCCCUGCACCGCCCA
rfam:Candidate division WOR_1 bacterium DG_54_3 WOR1_52_54_7849, whole genome shotgun sequence.